GACGAACGCUGGCGGCGUGCUUAACACAUGCAAGUCGAGCGAGAGAAAUUCCUUCGGGAAGGACUCUAGCGGCGGACGGGUGAGUAACACGUGGGUAACUUGCCUCAUGGAGGGGAAUAGCCUUUCGAAAGGAAGAUUAAUACCGCAUAAGAUUGUAGUAUCGCAUGAUGCAGCAAUUAAAGGAGUAAUCCGCUAUGAGAUGGACCCGCGUCGCAUUAGCUAGUUGGUGAGGUAACGGCUCACCAAGGCGACGAUGCGUAGCCGACCUGGGAGGGUGAUCGGCCAGAUUGGGACUGAGACACGGCCCAGACUCCUACGGGAGGCAGCAGUGGGGAAUAUUGCACAAUGGGGGAAACCCUGAUGCAGCAACGCCGCGUGAGUGAUGACGGUCUUCGGAUUGUAAAACUCUGUCUUCAGGGACGAUAAUGACGGUACCUGAGGAGGAAGCCACGGCUAACUACGUGCCAGCCGCCGCCGUAA
rnacentral:rRNA from 1 species